CUUUACUUUUCUCUAUAUUGAAUUUCAUUUUAUUAGAUAUGGCCCAGUGUUCUAGUCUGUCAAGACCCAUCUGGAUCUUGAGCCUAUCUUCUAGGGUGCCAGCUAUUCCUGCCAACUUAGUAUCAUCUGCAAAUUUGGGUCCAAAGCAACACAAGUUCUCCUUCCCUAUGAAGAAGCUUCCCAAUGAUUUUGCCAGAAAAAUUAGACUUACAACGUGAGAAAAUAAUGGAAGAAACAAUGAAGCAACAAAUAAUCAAGAAAUAAAAUAAACAGUGUUCAUUUAUUUGUUUUCUUUAACAAGAAAAAGUUUUACUAUGUGGCCCUCAGGUUAAGGAAAAUACUCCCAAGGAAGUGUAUUUGGUCCACACUCUUCCAGUAUUUACGAAAAUUAUGAAAAUUCAUAUAUUUCACCAAACUUGUUAUUGUCGAACUACUUGUGAUUUCAUUCUUUUGAUUAUCUUUUAUCAUGUUUAAAAUAUGCAAUCUUUCUUGAACAGAUACAUGGAGUAUGAAUGUAAUAAAUAAUCUGGCAAUUUGAAAACUUAAUAAUGCAUUGCAAUUUCAUCUUUAAUGCAUAUUUUUUACAAAUGGCAAUUUAUUGAAAAGGAAAGUUCACCACAUAUAUGUAGUCCUCAACAUAUGACCACAAUUGACCCCAAAAUUUCUGUUGCUACAAGACAUUUAAGUGAGUUAUGCUCCAUUUUAUCUGCAAGCUUUAACUUUCUCAUAGCAAAGAGUUAAAAUAACAGUAAACUUGAUAACCAGACUGAAUUACAUCUAUUUUCUAUGUCCAAAAUUACUUGUCCCAGUAUCUGAACAAAUGAUUGCCUUAUGUUGCUUUAUUGGCU
rnacentral:lncRNA from 1 species